UUGUAAGUAUUUUAAUUUUCUGUAUUUAAAUUUUGUUAUUACUUUAUUUUCAGUUUUUGCCGCCUAUAUGGUCGGCUAGAUUGUAUAUGUGCUAGAUCAUGGCUUGACUAAAUAUAGUUUAUGCUAACAUGGUAAUAAUGUCAUUUUAAAUUCAAAAAUUUUAAGUCGUGUUGAAGCUUGAAUGAAUCAGUUUGGUUAAAUAUACUUCGUGCCCUUUGUCCUUAUUGCCAUCAUGUCCAGG
rnacentral:lncRNA from 1 species